AAAUUGAAGAGUUUGAUCAUGGCUCAGAUUGAACGCUGGCGGCAGGCCUAACACAUGCAAGUCGAACGGUAACAGGAAACAGCUUGCUGAUU
rnacentral:rRNA from 1 species